GAAAGCACGAACACGGAUCCCAUCAAGCUUUGCGAUCCGACCUUCAACGAGCUUCCCAGUAAUCUUCUUUGAGUAGGUAGCAAGGUAGUUGUUCGGAGGGAGGGUAAUUUUACAGUUAUCGCCAAGUUUCACAAUGAAAUCACCAGAGGUCCGAUUGAGUGUGUAAUCAAAGACGUUAGUCGGAACCAACCCAAUUGAGAACCCAUGCUUA